rnacentral:rRNA from 10 species
UAGUGGCGAACGGGUGAGUAACACGUGGGCAAUCUGCCCUUCACUCUGGGACAAGCCCUGGAAACGGGGUCUAAUACCGGAUAAUACCUGCCUGGGCAUCUGGGUGGGUUGAAAGCUCCGGCGGUGAAGGAUGAGCCCGCGGCCUAUCAGCUUGUUGGUGAGGUAGUGGCUCACCAAGGCGACGACGGGUAGCCGGCCUGAGAGGGCGACCGGCCACACUGGGACUGAGACACGGCCCAGACUCCUACGGGAGGCAGCAGUGGGGAAUAUUGCACAAUGGGCGAAAGCCUGAUGCAGCGACGCCGCGUGAGGGAUGACGGCCUUCGGGUUGUAAACCUCUUUCAGCAGGGAAGAAGCGAAAGUGACGGUACCUGCAGAAGAAGCGCCGGCUAACUACGUGCCAGCAGCCGCGGUAAUACGUAGGGCGCAAGCGUUGUCCGGAAUUAUUGGGCGUAAAGAGCUCGUAGGCGGCUUGUCACGUCGGGUGUGAAAGCCCGGGGCUUAACCCCGGGUCUGCAUUCGAUACGGGCUAGCUAGAGUGUGGUAGGGGAGAUCGGAAUUCCU